rnacentral:rRNA from 1 species
GACGAACGCUGGCGGCGUGCUUAACACAUGCAAGUCGAACGGAAAGGCCCUGCUUUUGUGGGGUGCUCGAGUGGCGAACGGGUGAGUAACACGUGAGUAACCUGCCCUUGACUUUGGGAUAACUUCAGGAAACUGGGGCUAAUACCGGAUAGGAGCUCCUGCUGCAUGGUGGGGGUUUGAAAGUUUCGGCGGUUGGGGAUGGACUCGCGGCUUAUCAGCUUGUUGGUGGGGUAGUGGCUUACCAAGGCUUUGACGGGUAGCCGGCCUGGGAGGGUGACCGGCCACAUUGGGACUGAGAUACGGCCCAGACUCCUACGGGAGGCAGCAGUGGGGAAUAUUGCACAAUGGGCGGAAGCCUGAUGCAGCAACGCCGCGUGCGGGAUGACGGCCUUCGGGUUGUAAACCGCUUUCGCCUGUGACGAAGCGUGAGUGACGGUAAUGGGUAAAGAAGCACCGGCUAACUACGUG